rnacentral:rRNA from 1 species
UACGUAGGGGGCAAGCGUUGUCCGGAAUCAUUGGGCGUAAAGAGCGUGUAGGCGGCCCGGUAAGUCCGCUGUGAAAGUCGGGGGCUCAACCCUCGAAUGCCGGUGGAUACUGUCGGGCUUGAGUACGGAAGAGGCGAGUGGAAUUCCUGGCGUAGCGGUGAAAUGCGCAGAUAUCAGGAGGAACACCAAUUGCGAAGGCAGCUCGCUGGGACGUUACUGACGCUGAGACGCGAAAGCGUGGGGAGCAAACAGG